UGGGUGAUCUGCCCUGCACUUUUGGGAUAAGCCUGGGAAACUGGGUCUAAUACCGGAUAUACCCUGCUGGUCGCAUGGCCUGGUGGGGGAAAGCUUUUGCGGUGUGGGAUGGGCCCGCGGCCUAUCAGCUAGUUGGUGUGGGUAAUGGCCCACCAAGGCGACGACGGGUAGCCGGCCUGAGAGGGUGACCGGCCACACUGGGACUGAGACACGGCCCAGACUCCUACGGGAGCA
rnacentral:rRNA from 1 species